rnacentral:rRNA from 1 species
CGCGCAGGCGGCAUCGCAAGUCGGUCUUAAAAAGUGCGGGGCUUAACCCCGUGAGGGGACCGAAACUGUGAAGCUCGAGUGUCGGAGAGGAAAGCGGAAUUCCUAGUGUAGCGGUGAAAUGCGUAGAUAUUAGGAGGAACACCAGUGGCGAAAGCGGCUUUCUGGACGACAACUGACGCUGAGGCGCGAAAGCCAGGGGAGCAAAACGG